ACGGCCCGACAUGCUUACUAACUGUGUUGCUCUCUGCACGAGGAGGAAAGUUUGAUGUCCGUGCUUCACAAUAAAAGCAUCGUAGUAUUUUUAUAGGGAAAUGAUUGUAUGACUGUUAAGCCUACGAUAGCCUUUCUGUGCUUAAUACUUUAGGUUAAAGAGACAUGUAGCUUACCUUUAUUUAUUUACAUAUUAUAACCUAUUACAUUACUGUGUAGUGUUUUGUAUGUUAUUAUAGAGGUAAGAUGAAGCAUUCAGAUGUGUUCCUUAAGUAUAUAUUCUGCUAUUCUUUUUCUUAUAGAAAACCACAACAAGACCCAAUACUCUGUCAUAUUUAAUGGCCACUGAGAUGCCUGUAUUUUGUUUCAUGAGGAAGAAGUAAACAGCCAUUCAACCAAAUCUGCCCUCUUGUUAUUCAUAUUCUGGAAUAAGGCCUGAAGUGGUGUUCUGGCCGACACACCUGAGUGAAUCCAGUGGAAAGCAACAGACUAGUGUCCCAACUGAGUUUAGUUUUAUUAUCUUCAUUACAGCCAGGACUUUGACAGAAUCACUGUUCUUUAAACCAUGGUAAGAAAUAGGCAAAAGUACACAUUGUAUAGUGUAUAUCUGCUCUUCAUUCGAAUUUCAACCUAAAUUUGGACAACAAUAGAGGACUCUUUCCUGCGGCGGAGGAAGUCCGUGCGCCUGAUAACAUAGCUUGAACGGAGGCGGAGUAAUUCAACGGUCCUGUGAAGCAGCCGUAGGGAGAGAGAACGUCUUCGGUGAACCGACAGCAUUCGGACUUGGAUCUAAAUUCAGAGUUCAGGAGGAUUGUCACCACAGACCUGAUGGAGUCUUUCUUUGGUGGACUAGAUGCCUUGUUACCAAACCUUAUAGAGUUGUACCAGUCAGGUGUCACAUCCAACAAGAGGUUAAUCCUGAGAAGAAUUCUGCAGUGUCUUGGGAAAGAGGAUUCAAACCAAAACAGACUUACAGAUGCCCUACUUGGCCUUCCAUGCUUCUUUGCAGAGGAUUUCUCAAACAUGAUCCGGGUUAUGUGUGA